UUUUCUUUACAAGCUGAGGAACAAUUGACGAGAAUUUACUAUACUUGUCUGUAAUUUAAAUAAAAAUACUGUAAUUGCUGCGUUACAUCAAGCUGUUGAAUGUUUCGGAUUUCUCUGAGAUUUUCCCAGAUACAAUUGGCACAACUUCAGAUGUUUAGCACACUAUGAAAAGGCCCGAUGCGUGACCGAACUUGUUGUUGUUUGUGGCACACGUUAUUGAAACAUAAAUCGUAGGACAAAGCGUUAAAUGUAAUCUCGACAACAGAGUACGACGCACGACGUUUGGAAUCCUGUCCAAGACUGAUCCUAGUUUCCGUACGUUUCGUUGGAGCAAAACUUUUUGCCAAUUAGGAAAAGGUUGAAACCUUGAAAAAUUUCUAUUGGUUGGUACCAAGGGUCUGGUGGUUAUCUUUCUGCGACUGCGUCCUUCUCCACUCCUGGAAAAGAAUCCUUGACGGUCAGUGUCUUCGGAAGACACUUUCUUCGAGGCUAAUGUGGUUGUUAUUAUUAUUACCCAUAAUAUUAUUGGCUUUGCUAGUUGACACGUUUAAGUUACUAUAGGAACAAAUUCACGCAAUUUUGUUUACAACUGAUAGUUUACUGUCAAUUUUAACAUGGAGUGCAAAAAUGAACAUUUUC